GGAAACUGCCUGAUGGAGGGGGAUAUCUACUGGAAACUGUCUCUAAUACCGCAUAACCUCACAAGACCAAAGUGGGAGACCUUCGGGCCUCAUGCCAUCAUAUGUGCCCAGAUGGGAUUAUCUAGUGGGAGAGGUUGUGGCUCACCUACGCCACUAUCCCUAUCUGGUCUGAGAAGAUGACCCCCCACUCUGGAACUGACACACGGUCCACACUCCUACGGGAGGCAGCAGUGGGGAAUAUUGCACAGUGGGCGCAAGCCUGAUGCACCCGUGCCGCGUGUAUGAAAAGCGCCUUCGGGUUGUAAAGUACUUUCCGCGAGGAAGAAGGCUAUAGUGUUAAUAACCUUUGAGAUUGACUUUACUCGCAGAAGAAGCCCCGGCUAACUCCGUGCCAGCAGCCGCGGUAAUACAGAGGGUGCAAGCGUUAAUCAAAAUUACUGGGCGUAAAGCGCACGCGCGCGGUCUGUCAUCUCAGAUGUGAUCUCCCCGGGCUCAACCUGGAAACUGCAUCCGAAACUGGCAGGCUAGACUCGUGUAGAGGGGGGUAGAACUCCAGUGUGUAGCGGUGAAAUGCAUAGAGAUCUGGAAGAAUACCGGGGGCGAAGGCGGCCCCCUGGACAAACACUGACGCUCAGGUGCGAAAGCGUGGGGAGCAAACAGGAUUAGAUACCCUGGUACUCCACGCUAUAAACGAUGUCGACUUGGAGGUUGUUCCCUUGAGGAGUGGCUUCCAGAGCUAACGCGUUAACUCCACCGCCUGGGGAGUACGGCCGCAAGGUUAAAACUCAAAUGAAUUGACGGGGGCCCGCACAAGCGGUGGAGCAUGUGGUUUAAUUCGAUGCAACGCGAAGAACCUUACCUACUCUUGACAUCCAGAGAACUUAGCAGAGAUGCUUUGGUGCCUUCGGGAACUCUGAGACAGGUGCUGCAUGGCUGUCGUCAGC
rnacentral:rRNA from 1 species